rnacentral:rRNA from 1 species
GAUCAUGGCUCAGAUUGAACGCUGGCGGCAGGCCUAACACAUGCAAGUCGAACGGUAACAGGGAUCAGCUUGCUGAUUCGCUGACGAGUGGCGGACGGGUGAGUAAUGUCUGGGAAACUGCCUGAUGGAGGGGGAUAACUACUGGAAACGGUAGCUAAUACCGCAUAACGUCGCAAGACCAAAGAGGGGGGACCUUCGGGCCUCUUGCCAUCGGAUGUGCCCAGAUGGGAUUAG